AAUGGGCGUCUUUCCCAGACCACCAUGAGGGCCAGCGUUCCUGCUCAGCUGUGAAUGCUGCUGUGGUUAUGGCUGCUGCUUGGCUUAGGUGUGAAUGAGCCCAGGGAAGGACACACGGCCACUGCUGGAGGGAUCCUCCAUUCCUGUGUCAUUUGCAUGGGUCCUGCUGUGAAAUGAACCUGGCAGGGACUUGUUAGACACUUCCUUCCUUCCCUCAUUGAGCACUCCAGCACCAUUGUUCCACAGUUGUUCUAAUCGGGUCCUAGCUUCCUCCUGCCAAGGCAAACAGCAUAGUCUCGAGUAGGUGUCCCUAGGCUCAUCUGCCAGCCUGAACAUGAACACAGGCAAAGCUGAUGAUGGCCAGGGACCCCAGGGGACAUGGGGCCCUGUGGGGUCCGGCCCCCAGGAGCAAGACCUCUCAUGAUGCUGGUGUCUGGGAGUGAGCACCAUGCCCAUCACCCAGGACAAUGCCGUGUUGCACCUCCCCCUCCUCUACCAGUGGCUGCAGAACAGCCUGCGGGAAGGUGGGGAUGGGCCGGAGCAGCGGCUCUGCCAGGCGGCCAUCCAGAAGCUGCAGGAGUACAUCCAGCUGAACUUUGCUGUGGAUGAGAGUACGGUCCCACCUGAUCAUAGUCCCCCUGAAAUGGAGAUCUGUACUGUGUACCUCACCAAGGAGCUGGGGGACACAGAGACUGUGGGCCUGAGUUUUGGGAACAUCCCUGUUUUCGGGGACUAUGGUGAAAAGCGCAGGGGGGGCAAGAAGAGGAAAACCCACCAGGGUCCUGUGCUGGAUGUGGGCUGCAUCUGGGUGACAGAGCUGAGGAAGAACAGCCCAGCAGGGAAGAGUGGGAAGGUCCGACUGCGGGAUGAGAUCCUGUCACUGAAUGGGCAGCUGAUGGUUGGAGUUGAUGUCAGUGGGGCCAGAUGGAGUCUUGCUGUGUCACCCAGGCUGGAGUGCAGUGGCACAAUUUCGGCUCACUGCAACCUCCACCUCGUGAGUUCAAGCAGCUCUCCUGCCUCAGCCUCCCAAGUAGCUGGGAUUACAGGUUCCCACCACAAUGCCCGGCUAAUUUUUGUAUUUUUUAGUAGAGAUGGGGUUUCACCAUGUUGGCCAGGCUGGUCUCAAAUUCCUGACCUCAAGUGUUCGCCUGCCUUAGCCUCCCAAAGUGCUGGGAUUACAGGCAUGAGCCACCACGCCCAGCCGUUAACAACUUUUUUCUUGAUCUCAUCACGUCCUUCAUUGCAUGUUAACCAGCCUGCCUGAGUUUCCACCAGAUCUUGCUUGCUAGCCUGGUCUCCCCCACAGUGUUCCAUGUGUAAACUGGAAAGUAGUCAUAAGAGGGUCACAGCCCCCCUCAUACCCUUCCCCCGCAGACAUGCAUUUAUAAAUGGGCUAAACUCCACCCUCCUUGGGGUUAAAGUGAGGUGGGCCCUUUGUACAGCGCCACGUGUAAACAGUGUGGCUUUUGAGAUGGCCCCUAAAGCCUGGAGAGGAAGCCACGUUUUUAAUUUGUGAGAAAAUUAUUCAAGGUUCUAUCUGGUCCUUUGCUUUUCCCAACUAGGAGCUUUUUCAGCUGAUGGAGAACAGUGGUGGACCAGAUAAGAU
rnacentral:sRNA from 1 species